ensembl:lncRNA
UGACCCCCAGGUGGUGGAGCCCACCCCCUCACUUUUCCUUGCUGUGUGCAUAACGGUUGCCCUAUUUUGGAGUGCAGUGCUUACUGGUUUUAUGCAUGUGUGGUGUGUGUCUUCUGGGCCUCUCCUGUCCCCCUCUUGGAAAGUCCUGCUCGCUGCGGAAUGAGCCCACGUUUGAUGUCAGCUAUAAGAUAUUCUGUGAGAGGAUCAUUCGCCAAAGGCUGCUUGUCAACCAAGAGGUGCUGAGAAUGGGCCAGCUGAGGAAGGCCUUCAUUGAACUGGUGAAAGCAAAUGAAGGUCUUGAUGUUUCAAACUACAG